rnacentral:misc_RNA from 1 species
AACGCACAUUGCGCCCGCCGGCACUCCGGCGGGCAUGCCUGUCCGAGCGUCAUUACAACCCUCAGGCUCCGCCUGGCGUUGGGAGACUACGGGGACUCAACCCCCUGUAGCUCCCCAAAGACAGCGGCGGCGGGCGUCCCUCGCACCGAGCGUAGUAGUUUUCAACUCGCUCUGGUCGGAGGCGCCUCGUCUUUUGCCGUAAAACAACCCAAUUCUAGUAGUUGACCUCGGAUCAGGUAGGAAUACCCGCUGAACUUAA